rnacentral:rRNA from 1 species
UCGAGCGGACCGAAGGGAGCUUGCUCCUUUAGGUUUAGCGGUGGACGGGUGAGUAACACGUGGGCAACCUGCCCUGCAGACUGGGAUAACUUCGGGAAACCGGAGCUAAUACCGGAUAACACCGAAAACCGCAUGGUUUUCGGUUGAAAGGCGACUUUUAGCUGUCACUGCAGGAUGGGCCCGCGGCGCAUUAGCUAGUUGGUGAGGUAACGGCUCACCAAGGCGACGACGGGUAGCCGGCCUGAGAGGGCGACCGGCCACACUGGGACUGAGACACGGCCCAGACUCCUACGGGAGGCAGCAGUGGGGAAUAUUGGACAAUGGGCGCAAGCCUGAUGCAGCAACGCCGCGUGCGGGAUGACGGCCUUCGGGUUGUAAACCGCUUUCGCCUGUGACGAAGCGUGAGUGACGGUAAUGGGUAAAGAAGCACCGGCUAACUACGUGCCAGCAGCCGCGGUAAU